AUCUGUUCGGCGGUCUAGGGAGUACAUAGAUAUGAAGCCCGGUUAACGUUGGGCUUGUUUUAUUUAUUAAUCGGUCAAUUCGCGAUUUAAUAUUUUUAUUGUUAUACUUGCCUUUUUAAGUCAUACGUGCUCUGUCUUUCUAUCUAUUUCUCUAUGGCUCUUUUCUCUUUCUAUCUCUAUCUCGCUAUCUGCUCAUUUUACAGUAUGUUAUUUAUCUUUAUCUUUUUUAUUAUUAUAAAUCCUCUUUUUAUACUUUUUUUUUUAACUCUUAUAUAUUCCAUUGCUCAUUGGGAUCCUAUUCACUUUUGCACUUGUUCGCUCACUUCAUUGAUCACCUCUAUUAGUCAUUUUGUUACUUGCACAGGCAUUACCCUGCUCAGUGACGUUUUUUCAUAUAGAGCACCGUCCUUUUUUUAUACUUUUGAAUAAACUUUUCAUUAUCAAUUGUCACGUGCUUCGAAUAGUCAUCAAGACUCGCUUUACGUAUCAUCCACUUUGAUCAUCUAGUAUAACGUUUAUAAUCUUAUAAUCCUUUAUUAAGGUACAUAAUUUCCUAUUGGCAUCCUUAUCGGGAUCUAUAAACAGCCAUAAUCGAUGAAUCGCGAGAGUCCUUUGUCAUACUUUUUUUAUAUUGCGUGGGGAAUUUUUGAAAAAAAAAAUGGGUCUAUUAUAUUUCCGAACGGAUGGAUCCUUGUGAAUCUUGCCGAAAAAAUAGAAAUUGUACAUAACACGUACUUUAAAGGCUCGUUCCUUUUUAUUCUUUUCACUGUCUCGAUUCUAAACGAGCCAUAAUGCCAUUUUAAAAAAACUAUAUAAAAAUAACGUAUCAUAUAAGGGACCCGGAAAAUAGGUACUCCGAUUUCUUAAACGAUCUGAAUAUCCAGAUACAAAAUACCAUUGUCCCCUCCUCCGCCCCAUUUUAUUCGUUCAAUUUGCACGAUAUCGUCGUUGAAUUACUUUUAUCGAAAUCUGAUAAUCAAUAAGUUUUUAGUAUCCAGAUAUUAUCAUCCAAGUAGAUUCAGAGACAUCAAAAUGAUUCAGUCCCAUAACUGUCUGACUUACUUUCGUUCUCAUUCUCAGACCAUUACUUUUUUGAUUCAAUCUUCUACUAUUCUUAUUGUUCCCUAUCUAUGCUUGUAAUCCAUUCGCAUCUCCUUCUACGUUCCUUUCACCCUUUCUUCAAUCUCUUUGACACUUUCAUUCUGCUUCUGCUAUAUAUCUGCCAUUUAUAUUUUGUUGUAUUGUCUGACCCUUCAGUGGUAAAAGCUACUAUAGAAAAUUCUACAGUUUCCUUUCAAGAUGACUUUUCGUUGAAAUUGUUUUAUCUCCCUUGCAUUACCUUUAUCGUCUCUCUACUUGUUUACUGCUUUCCUUUUACUUCCACUUACUCAUCUGUACUUCUAUCUUGUUUCUUUACUACGUUCUUGCCUUGAAAGACACGUCUCUUGCGGAAUGGCCUUUAUCGCCGAUGACGACCAAGAGACGAGCUUGGAAAUAGUUGAAGAAACUAUUAUUUAAUAAAAAUUACAAUUCUUGCCAAUCUUUUUCGCUGGUAUAAUUUUUUUUAAUGAUCCCUUAUAACAAAUCUUGGUCGUCAUUGAUUUCUUAUGCUUUUAUCAAUGAUUCGUUUAUACGAAUUUUAGACGAGUGGUUUUCGAAUAAUUUAUUGCCAUUCGUCCGACUCGUAUGAAUUAUCGUUACCUACACUCGUGCCUCAACUUAGCGUCAUGUUAAUUAAAAAAAAUUUUUCAUAAUUCACUAUCCAAUCUUUUUCUUCGACUGUCUUCUGCCUCUCUCUGUCAGUGACUCGCUGGAAUUCACGUAAGACGCGCAUCCGGGCCGUGAACCGUGCCGAUGAUCUAUUUGCUCCCAACACCACCGCCUAGAAGAGGAAAAAAGGUGACGAGUUUCGGAGCACCUAAAUCCACGAUUACUAAAACACUAUUGAAUCAAAAUGAGACAAAGAAAAGUCGUAUAAAAUUGCAGAGAAAAAAAUUUUAAAAUCAGUAUUGAGAAAAAAGAAUGAAACAAAAAAAGAGAUUGAGAAAAAAUUAUAUUUGAAUUGAGAAUCUACUCACUGCCCGAUACCACCACCACCACAGCCCUCACGACCUUUCACCUAUCACUGUCCAGUUGGCCACUGAAUUUCCCCCACGUCACUCUGACCCUUGAAGAGAAAAAAAAAAA